rnacentral:ribozyme from 1 species
GUCGGGACCGGACAGACCGCAAAUUUCUGUCUCUCCCCGACUCCAAACGCUGCCUUUGUCUCGUUCGGCGUCCCGUCGCCCCCCGGACAAGC